rnacentral:misc_RNA from 1 species
GGAAAAGAAGCUGAAGGAGAUGGAGAUUGAUUACGUGCGGGCGGUAGUAGAGGAAGGAGGAAUACACGUGGAUCAGUUAUUUUUCCACGAUCCGGAUGGAUUCAUGAUCGAGAUAUGCAACUGCGACAACCUGCCGGUGAUCCCGCUCACCGUCGGCGAGCACUUAGUUGCUUGUAAGCGGAUGAAGCAGAAGUACUGUCAACCGGCGGUGGCGGCGAUUCACGUGAAGGAGAGUAAUAUGACGCCGGUCCUGGAAGCGUAGGAGCAAUGGUGGAGGGCCGGCGAUUGCUGACUGGGACUCCAGGUGUAUGUUAAUGUAUUUUGGGUGGUUUGUUUUUUGUGUAGUUCUUGUAUGAAUAAGAGGUACUUCGUCUUCAUGCCACGAGCGGUUAUGUGUCACCGUGAGGGCGAAAGAGCAGCCGUAUUUGUUUCUUUCCGGCUCUAAGUUAUGUGUGGCUGAAACUGAAUGAGUUGGCC